GAGGCAGUAAAGCAAAGGAAGUGAGGGAGGAGAUGUCAGUUUAGAGAAAAAGCUCUUCAAAGGCCAAACUAGUUCUCAAGAAGAAAUGAUACCUUCAAGACACGCUCCAAUGGAUAUGUCACUUCCUUGGCUAUCCUACAAGGAGAAAGCAGAAGAAGAAACACCCAGGAAGCAGAUGCAGAGGAACUGCUGCUAGAGUUCCCUGGACUGGUUUCCCAGAUGUGGAAAGUUCCGAAGACCUACAGAGUAACUAUUCAGGAAGACAAAAGUCUGAAUGAGAUCUAUGAUCUUAUAGGCAACACAGAGAUUCAUCAUGAAAGAACGUCAAUAUGUACAAGUAUACAAAGGUAUGCAGAAGCAUAGUUCAGAGUAAUAAGCACCAUAGCUCUUAGCAUAGCUCCCCAGGUGACAGACACAGCUUCCAUAGGUAUAGAGAGGGAAGUAACCCUGUACUUGCUAAGCUGUAUCAUAAAAGAAAACAAAUCAUCCUAAUUUUACGUUAACCUAUACAGGUUUGUUUGAGGUUAUCAAACAAACCUUUACUACAUGCAGUAAAAAAUGGGCACCCUUCAAUGACUGGCUGCUUUCAACUUCCUCAGUGUCCUCACUGGUAAAACAUGGACAAUAAAUGAGUAAUAUGGGUAAGUGCUUACUUAGAACAGCACAUGACACACAGUGAGUGCUAUAUAAAUGUUGGCUACUUGUAAUAGUAGUGGCAGUAAUGUUCCAAAUUUAGUUGGGCAAAUAAAUAUUAAUCAUGUAAAUUAAAUAUUUAAUUGAAUAUUUCAAAUUCAAGCAGACAUUGGUUCUAUGCUAUUUCCAUGUCUUAUUUCUUAGAGUUACCUGUAUUUCUGAUGUAGUAAGGCCACUUUUUGGGUUGCUUCUUCCAAUACUUUUUCAUCUUGUAACCAUCCCUGAAGAAAACACACAGUGGUAAGUAUGUGACAAUUCACCCCAAUUUCUUAGAAGGAAUCAUGGCCAUUGACUGUUAAUGACUCUCGUCACUAUCAGGCAAAAUUAUGACUAUUGUUACUAUAUGGGAGCUUUGUUUACAUAGGUAAUCAUCUUUCUAAGGAAUUAACUGGCUUCUCACAAGAGCCAAAAAAAAAAACUUGCCCCACCUUCUCAAUCCCAGGGAAAGUUUCAGCUGAGUUAUUUCAAGUUGGUGACAGUAGUUAGCCAGUCCUGAGCCCAGCAAGAUAAAAACAUCUUGUGCGUUCUCUGGCGCUGUGUAGACACUCAGAACAGCAUACCACACCUUCCUUAGUUGUUGCAAUGCAGUUUCCAUGUCCCUUCCAUCAGUAAUGACUUUAUAAAAGUAGAAGGCAGUGUCUUUGUCAUCUACUUUUUAAAUUGCUGAUGAGAAGCGACAUUCAUUCCUCAAUAUAAUUUUGUAAGGUUUCAAACCUUCAGUUAAAAGUAAAACCUGUGCAUGCUUCCUGAGAAGCUGAAAACGAAUCCUUCUUUUUAAACUCACAAAUAGAAAACAAAUGUCUCCAGGCACAGUGCAGUGACUACAGACCCUUCAGUUUCUGUGGGUUCACAAGGACCAAGAUGACUACAACAGGGAAAGCAGUCACACUUGAGAUGUUUAUAAGAGGGAAUUUUUUUUUAUAAUCCUAUUCCUGACAGUAAGUCUAUCAUACGGAUUUCAUUUCAGGGAUUAUUAAGGGUAUAGGAAUAAACUGUUUCUUUUAAAAGGCCCAGUGUCAAAAGAAGUCUUACCACAGGAAACAAGGCAAAUUUCUGAAGAAAGUCCUGGGAUUCAUACUGAUCAAAGUCACCAAAAUCCGCUAUAUAGAAUGACAAAUAUUCACAUGUUAAUUAUAUUUAAAUUGCAUUGCAAAAUAUGCAGAACAAAAUUCAAUAUGCAGUAUAUCUAGACGGUAUGCUAAUAUUUCAGAAGUCAAAUUUGUUAUAGCUAUAUAAAGUAUAUUUUUAAAGUAUCUUUUUAAAAAUGUUAAUUAGGCAGAUAUGAGUCUUGGCUUGGAAAAAUGCCUAUGAAUUAAAUAAAAAAAAAGUUGCAAGCUCUAUGUAAUAUGAUCUCAUUUUACAGUUAAAAUGCAAACAAAACCUACCCUGUAAUCAUAUAUGCUUGCUUAUGUACAGGAAAAUGUCAAGGAGAAACCAAAUUGUCAACAGUACUGAUGACCUCUGGGGUCACUUGAAUAUAUUACACUUGAGGCCACUGGGACCACUUGAAUAUAUUACAGCAAGAUAUAUUUGUGUUGAAAUUUUUAAUUUUUUUAAAAAAAUUGACAAUUCAGCAAAAUGCUUACGAAAAAGUAAUUCUUAAAGCCAAAAAUGAUACUUAAGAAAAUCUAAAGUACCUUGAAAAGGAAUGUGGCUCCAUGUGCAUCAGGCAUUUGUUUAAAAAUGAUACAUGUCUCCAUGCCUGCUUAUAGCUGAAGGAGUUUUAUUAAUAAUUAUUCUGAUUAAAUUUCACUCCCAAGGCUAAAUGCCAGUUAUUGUUUGAAAUAAUGCCCCAUCAGAAAUCUUCCCAGCCAGGCACAGUGGCUCACACCUAUAAUCCCAGCACUUCAGUAAGCCAAGGAGGGAGGAUAGCUUGAGCCAAAGAGUCUGAGACCAGCCUAGCAACAUAGCAAGACCCUAUCUCUAUAAAAAAUUUUAAAAAUCAGCCAGGCAUGGUAGCGCACACCUGUAGUCACAGCUACUUGGGAGGCUCAGGUGGGAGGAUCACUUGAGCACAGUAGGUUGUGGCUGCAGUGCGCCACGAUCACAUCACUGCACUCAAGCCUGGGCAACAGAGUAAGACUGUCUCC